GUGCGGGAUUGGGUGCCGAAGUGGAUUGCCGUGGGGAGUGCAUACUACCACGGGGCCAUUAGGCGCGGCGCAAGCCGGGCUACCUUGGGUAGAUCCUGAUGAAUGAAAGGAAAACUCUAUUGAGAGCCAUCUACAGGAGAGGCUAGGGAUCGUGGCAAGGGAGUUGCGUCUAGCUAGACAUUGCUAGGGGCAUGCUAGUUGAUCACUUUGCUACUCAGGCUACUGCCGAGGGUGAUGUCCCUAUGUAUAGAGAGACCACCAUUGUACCUAUCUUUUGUAUACUCCGUGAUGUACAUAUUUACUCCUUGGACAGAUAUUAUGGUUGUGAUACUUCACGUUUUGUUGAGUUUGUGGAUUAUAUCCUCCUUGUUCUAUUGUUAAUAGUCUUUGUGACUUUUACUA